rnacentral:rRNA from 2 species
GUGAUUGAUAACCAUUACGCCAGCAUCCUUGCAGAAGCGCGUACCUCGAUCCCCAGGGCGGUAUUAUACAAUAGGCUAUAACACUCCCGAGGGAGCCACAUUCCUAAAGCUUUUAUCCCACCCCGAAAAUCGAUGCUGGCCUAAACUAAACAAAGUGCACCGGUGAGAACACCGGAUGAUUCGCCUAGAAAAAGUCUGGUCAUAAAUCCUUCCCUUUCAACAAUUUCACGUGCUAUUUAACCCUCUUUUCAAAGUGCUUUUCAUCUUUCGAUCACUCUACUUGUGCGCUAUCGGUCUCUGGCCAGUAUUUAGCUUUAGAAGAAAUUUACCUCCCAUUUAGAGCAGCAUUCCCAAACUACUCGACUCGUCGAAGGAGUUUUACAAAGGCUAGGCAUUCAACCGUACGGGGCUCUCACCCUCUAAGGCGUCCUGUUCCAAGGAACUCGGAAGAUACCGCACCAAAAACAUCCUCUACAAAUUACAAUUCGGACCCAAGGGCCAGAUUUCAAAUUUGAG